GCCUACGGGGCGCAGCAGUAGGGAAUCUUCCACAAUGGGCGAAAGCCUGAUGGAGCAACGCCGCGUGGGUGAAGAAGGUCUUCGGAUCGUAAAACCCUGUUGUUAGAGAAGAAAGUGCGUGAGAGUAACUGUUCACGUUUCGACGGUAUCUAACCAGAAAGCCACGGCUAACUACGUGCCAGCAGCCGCGGUAAUACGUAGGUGGCAAGCGUUAUCCGGAUUUAUUGGGCGUAAAGGGAACGCAGGCGGUCUUUUAAGUCUGAUGUGAAAGCCUUCGGGUUAACCGGAGUAGUGCGUUGGAAACU
rnacentral:rRNA from 1 species